UAGUCCACGCCGUAAACGAUGGAUACUUGGUGUUGGAGGUAUUGACCCCUUCAGUGCCGAAGCUAACGCGUUAAGUAUCCCGCCUGGGGAGUACGGUCGCAAGAUUAAAACUCAAAGAAAUUGACGGGGGCCCGCACAAGCGGUGGAGCAUGUGGUUUAAUUCGAUGCAACGCGCAGAACCUUACCUGGCCUUGACAUGUACCGGAAGGCUACCAGAGAUGGUGUCGUCCUUCGGGACUGGUACACAGGUGCUGCAUGGCUGUCGUCAGCUCGUGUCGUGAGAUGUUGGGUUAAGUCCCGCAACGAGCGCAACCCUUGCCUUUAGUUGCCAGCAUUUAGUUGGGCACUCUAGAGGGACUGCCGACGUUAAGUCGGAGGAAGGUGGGGAUGACGUCAAGUCCUCAUGGCCCUUAUGGGCCAGGGGCUACACACGUGCUACAAUGGCUACUACAAAGGGUUGCUAAGCAGCAAUGCCAAGCUAAUCCCAGAAAA
rnacentral:rRNA from 1 species